AUUGAACGCUGGCGGCAUGCCUUACACAUGCAAGUCGAACGGCAGCACGGGGCAACCUGGUGGCGAGUGGCGAACGGGUGAGUAAUGCAUCGGAACGUACCUUUCAGUGGGGGAUAACGUAGCGAAAGUUACGCUAAUACCGCAUAUUCUGUGAGCAGGAAAGCAGGGGAUCGCAAGACCUUGCGCUGAUUGAGCGGCCGAUGUCAGAUUAGCUAGUUGGUGAGGUAAAGGCUCACCAAGGCGACGAUCUGUAGCGGGUCUGAGAAGAUGAUCCGCCACACUGGGACGGAGACACGGUCCAGACUCCUACGGGAGGCAGCAGUGGGGAAUUUUGGACAAUGGGGGCAACCCUGAUCCAGCCAUGCCGCGUGAGUGAAGAAGGCCUUCGGGUUGUAAAGCUCUUUCGGCCGGGAAGAAAUCGCACGGGCUAAUACCCUGUGUGGAUGACGGUACCGGAAUAAGAAGCACCGGCUAACUACGUGCCAGCCGCCGCGGUAACAC
rnacentral:rRNA from 1 species